rnacentral:rRNA from 1 species
UACAGAGGUCUCAAGCGUUGUUCGGAUUCAUUGGGCGUAAAGGGUUCGUAGGCGGUGCGGCAAGUCGGAAGUGAAAUCUCCAGGCUCAACUUGGAGGCUGCUCCCGAAACUGCCGUGCUAGAGUGCGGGAGAGGCCAGUGGAAUUGCAGGUGUAGCGGUGAAAUGCGUAGAUAUCUGCAGGAACACCCGUGGCGAAGGCGGCUGGCUGGACCGCAACUGACGCUGAGGAACGAAAGCUAGGGGAGCAAACAGG